AUUGAACGCUGGCGGCAGGCCUAACACAUGCAAGUCGAGCGGCAGCGGAAAGUAGCUUGCUACUUUGCCGGCGAGCGGCGGACGGGUGAGUAAUGUCUGGGAAACUGCCUGAUGGAGGGGGAUAACUACUGGAAACGGUAGCUAAUACCGCGUAACGUCGCAAGACCAAAGAGGGGGACCUUCGGGCCUCUUGCCAUCAGAUGUGCCCAGAUGGGAUUAGCUAGUAGGUGGGGUAACGGCUCACCUAGGCGACGAUCCCUAGCUGGUCUGGGAGGAUGACCAGCCACACUGGAACUGAGACACGGUCCAGACUCCUACGGGAGGCAGCAGUGGGGAAUAUUGCACAAUGGGCGCAAGCCUGAUGCAGCCAUGCCGCGUGUAUGAAGAAGGCCUUCGGGUUGUAAAGUACUUUCAGCGGGGAGGAAGGUGUUGAGGUUAAUAACCUCAGCAACUGACGUUACCCGCAGAAGAAGCACCGGCUAACUCCGUGCCAGCCGCCGCCGUAACAC
rnacentral:rRNA from 1 species